rnacentral:rRNA from 1 species
CCCUUAGAUGUUCUGGGCCGCACGCGUGCUACACUGAGUGGAUCAGCGGGUCAGGUUGCGCGAAAGUGUUUCCUAAUCUUUAAAUCCGCUCGUGAUGGGGAUUGACGGUUGCAAUUUUCUGUCAUGAACGAGGAAUACCUUGUAAGCGCGGGUCAUCAUCCCGCGCUGAAUACGUCCCUGCCCUUUGUACACACCGCCCGUCGCUCCUACCGAUUGAGUGGUCCGGUGAGGCUUCGGGAUCUGAGCGGAAAGAGCGUUUCGCUCCUUUUGCUGGGAGAACUCAGUCGAACCUUAUCAUUUAGAGGAAGGAGAAGUCGUAACA